UGGGGAAUAUUGGACAAUGGGCGAAAGCCUGAUCCAGCCAUGCCGCGUGUGUGAAGAAGGUCUUCGGAUUGUAAAGCACUUUAAGUUGGGAGGAAGGGCCAUUACCUAAUACGUGAUGGUUUUGACGUUACCGACAGAAUAAGCACCGGCUAACUCUGUGCCAGCAGCCGCGGUAAUACAGAGGGUGCAAGCGUUAAUCGGAAUUACUGGGCGUAAAGCGCGCGUAGGUGGUUAGUUAAGUUGGAUGUGAAAUCCCCGGGCUCAACCUGGGAACUGCAUUCAAAACUGACUGACUAGAGUAUGGUAGAGGGUGGUGGAAUUUCCUGUGUAGCGGUGAAAUGCGUAGAUAUAGGAAGGAACACCAGUGGCGAAGGCGACCACCUGGACUGAUACUGACACUGAGGUGCGAAAGCGUGGGGAGCAAACAGGAUUAGAUACCCGAGUAGUCCCUGAGCGGGCUGGCAAGGCGCAU
rnacentral:rRNA from 1 species